AACCAAUGAUGCUGUGAUUCUGCCAAAUGAUAAGAUGUGAUAUCACACAUAUAACCGUUCCACUUCAUUUCUGAGGUU